UCCCUAUGCAGAUGGAAACAAAUCUUUUAGAACUGAUCAUGUGACACAACCCUGUGCAUUCAGGAAAGAUUCAAGAUACAGUAGCACUCUUGAUGGUUUAAGGCGGAUUUGGAUAUGGAAAGAUGCUUCGGGAAAAUGGAACCAAUAUUCUGACCAGGUUAACGAUGCAAUUAAUAGGAAUUAUGACAGAAAUCAACAAUCCACAGUUCUGAUAAAAAUGGCGGGUGAAACGUUCAGAGUGGUGAUGUCAAAAAACAAACAGAUCAACGUUCAUUCGAAGGAGAUAAAUGAAGUGUCAUGGAAAUGGAACUGACGGAAUAUUGUGUCAAAGAUAAUUAUUGUUUUGUAUAUUAGUCUUUGACCAGUUAUUGUCAAAGACUGAUAUAUAAAACGAUAACGCUUCAUCAAAAAGGGAAGCUGACGAUUGAAAAGUUUUUGUCAUCAAGAUUAUCAUAAACUUUGGUUGUUAGAUUACAAUUAAUGUCUUCUUCUAGUAAAAGAUUAAAAUAUGAAACAAUUUUUUCAGACUCUGUGAUAUCUUUUAUUUCAAGCUCACUGGGAUAUAUCAUAUCGACAUAAGAAUGGGAAUAACAAUUGUUAUUUGACAAUUAAUACAUCGUCUUUAUAAAAAUUGUAUUCCCCGUGUUUUAUGAUACAAAAUAUGUUGACCUUUCGAAAUGUUUACCUGAUCUAAAAUGGGUAAUUAUAGAUGGAUGACCUCUCGUAAAUUAAAACAGCUGAUAGUGCCAUAUUAACAGAUUAUGUGUAUAUUGAUCUCAAUAUUUAAAAAUGGGCCUUUAAUUGGUCUACAUUUAGAUCUGUGUUAACCGUUUGAUUAUUUGUUUGUUUGCUUAUUGUUGUCUUUGAAAUAAAACAAAUUAUAAAAGUAUUCAUGAAUCGUUCGAUAAUAUACAUGCUUUUUUGUUUCUUUGUUCCUUUCAAGAUUUUUUCACUCAGAUUGAGAGAGCACCAAUAUUGACGACUGGGGAAUGUAGAUUUAGAUAUUUACUCGGCACUUAAAAAGACCUUUGAAACAGAAGAGUAAGUGAUAAGUUAUUUUCAUGAUGUACUCUCAAUUGAGUUAACUUCAAAUGACGUCACCAAACAUCCUCCUAGUGCUCGAGUCUCCAAUAAAACGUAAUAUAUGUUUUUGAAAAUGGAUAGAUAUUGUUGAGGUGACAUUAAACACUCCACAAUAUUACCAGAAAAGUAAUUCAUUUUCAGGUUUUCUUGUAAUGGCAAAUUUAAUCACAAGGAAUAUAUUACUUCAAAAAUAAUUUAAAAAAUACUUUAAAUAUAAUGGCCCAA